GACGAACGCUGGCGGCGUGCCUAACACAUGCAAGUCGAGCGAGAGACUUCGGUCUCUAGCGGCGGACGGGUGAGUAACACGUGGGUAACCUGCCUCAUAGAGGGGGAUAGCCUCCCGAAAGGGAGAUUAAUACCGCAUAAUAUGUUUUGAUCACAUGAUCGAAACAUUAAAGGAGUAAUCCGCUAUGAGAUGGACCCGCGGCGCAUUAGCUAGUUGGAGAGGUAACGGCUCACCAAGGCGACGAUGCGUAGCCGACCUGAGAGGGUGAUCGGCCACAUUGGAACUGAGAUACGGUCCAGACUCCUACAGGAAGCAGCAGUGGGGAAUAUUGCACAAUGGGUGAGAGCCUGAGCCAGCCAUGCCGCGUGCAGGAAGAAAGCCUUCUGGGUUGUAAACUGCUUUUUUCAGGGGAUAAAAUACCGGUGCGCCGGGAAUUGCAAGUACCUGGAGAAUAAGCCACGGCUAACUACGUGCCAGC
rnacentral:rRNA from 1 species